CGCGUAGGCGGGAAUAUAAGUCAGACGUGAAAUCCCGAGGCUCAACCUCGGAACUGCAUUUGAAACUAUAUUUCUUGAGGGUAGGAGGAGAAAACGGAAUUCCACAAGUAGCGGUGAAAUGCGUAGAUAUGUGGAAGAACACCGGUGGCGAAGGCGGUUUUCUAUCUUAUUCCUGACGCUGAUGCGCGAAAGCAAGGGGAUCAAAACA
rnacentral:rRNA from 1 species